GGAAAAUGAAAUGAACAGAUUUGAAGGAUGUUCUCGGAAACUUUUAAAUCGUAUUCAACAGGUUGAUAGCUCUUGCUGUACUGUAGAGGAAGCAGCUUCAUGUGGUAGGUGAAAAUAAGCUUAUAUAGAAUUACCGGAAGAUAAGGAAAUAGAUGGUGAUCUUGAAAAAUGCCACCUUACACAAAAAAAGAUCAAAGUUUCAAGAAAUAUGCGGAGACUUUGUACAGCAACUCCAUAGUGACGGGAGUUCCUGAAAUCGUUCAAGCUGGUGAUUGGCGUCUGAGACUGGUGAGACUGGCUGUUCUUUUAUCUUGUCUCACUGGUUUUGUAUAUCAGACGCAUAAUUUCUUGAAGUUCUAUUGGAAAUAUCCUACUAUAUUAGACAUACAGAUAUCUAGACUGGAGGAGAUUAUGAUGCCUGCUUUUACUGUAUGCGAUCCUAAUGGAAUUGUUCUUUCAAAAUACUGCAAAAGUUACCCCUGCAAAAAGCCAGUAGAGGAGCGAAGAUUUUGUAGAUGCUAUCCAGAAGGAAGAUACUGUGAAAGAAAGAGACUACAUCCAUUCGUGAAGGUUC